rnacentral:rRNA from 1 species
CCUACGGGAGGCUGCAGUGAGGAAUAUUGGUCAAUGGGCGCGAGCCUGAACCAGCCAAGUAGCGUGAAGGAUGACUGCCCUACGGGUUGUAAACUUCUUUUAUAAAGGAAUAAAGUGCGGCACGUGUGCCCUUUUGUAUGUACCUUAUGAAUAAGGAUCGGCUAACGCCGUGCCAGCAGCCGCGGUAAUACGGAGGUUCCGAGCGUUAUCCGGAUUUUUUGGGUUUAAAGGGAGCGUAGGUGGGUUGUUAAGUCAGUUGUGAAAGUUUGCGGCUCAACCGUAAAAUUGCAAUUGAUACUGGCAGCCUUGAGUACAGUUGAGGUAGGCGGAAUUCGUGGUGUAGCGGUGAAAUGCUUAGAUAUCACGAAGAACUCCGAUUGCGAAGGCAGCUUACUAAAGUGCAACUGACAUUGAUGCUCGAAAGUGUGGGUAUCAAACAGGAUUAGAUACCCCAGUAGUC